rnacentral:rRNA from 1 species
UAGAGUUGCUCKUGGCUCAGGCAGUCGUAACGUGGUAACCGUUUAGUGUCAUACUGGUCUCGGGGGUCGGAACACAUUCAAAAUCUUCCUUCGCGCGGUGAAUAUACCAUGAAAAUUAGUAUUACUACCCCAUAGCAUGACGGAAUGGCAUCACUUUGUUGUUUUGUUAUAUCAUUUGAUUUGGCUGUGCGGCUGACCGGAAGUUGGCGGGGUAACCCCGCACCGCCCCUGCAAUCAGCUACUGCAGUGAGAGUGCGACCCGCCACCCGGCCACUGUCACACCGGCCCGACUCCCACGGCAGGUGCCUUUAUGGAAUAUUGAUCACUGGACGAAAGUCUGACUGCGCCAUGCCGCGUGGAGGACUUCCGCCCUCUGGAUUGUAAACUUCUUUUGCAUGUCACCUACAAAGGCUUUUCUAAGUCCUCUGACGGUACCAUAUGAAUAUACACCGGCAAACUCCGGACCACCCACCACRGAAAUUCKGAGGGUGCAGGCAUUAUCCGGAUUCAAUGCGUUUAAAGGCCGCGUAGGUGGGUUGUUAAGUCAGUGGWGAACUCCCCAAGCUUAUCUUGAAAACUGACACUGAUACUAUAARUCUCGAAUACCGUGGAGGUCAUCAGAAUAUCUCAUGUAUCCGCUGUAAAGCUUCCCAUCUUGACAUUCAACACCUCUUGCGAGCCGCUUGGCUUACACCAGUAUUGAUUCUGGACGUUCGAGAGCGGUGGGGAUCUUAUCAGAUUACAUACUGUGGKAAUCCCACGACCUAUGCUAKUGGAUACUCUACAUUCUGCGGAUACAGAGCACGAGUCUGAGGWAAAGCAUUACGUAUGCCACGUGUGCUGUACGAUCGCUCUAGUGUACACUCCAAAGGAAUUAGCGACUGUUCGCACAUGCGAUGGAGCCACGUGGUAUCUAUGUACUAUCAUAC